rnacentral:rRNA from 1 species
AUUGAACGCUGGCGGCAUGCCUUACACAUGCAAGUCGAACGGUAACGGGCCUUCGGGUGCCGACGAGUGGCGAACGGGUGAGUAAUACAUCGGAACGUGCCCGAUCGUGGGGGAUAACGAGGCGAAAGCUUUGCUAAUACCGCAUACGAUCUACGGAUGAAAGCAGGGGACCGCAAGGCCUUGCGCGGACGGAGCGGCCGAUGGCAGAUUAGGUAGUUGGUGGGAUAAAAGCUUACCAAGCCGACGAUCUGUAGCUGGUCUGAGAGGGUGAUCAGCCACACUGGGACUGAGACACGGCCCAGACUCCUACGGGAGGCAGCAGUGGGGAAUUUUGGACAAUGGGCGCAAGCCUGAUCCAGCCAUGCCGCGUGCAGGAUGAAGGCCUUCGGGUUGUAAACUGCUUCUGUACGGAACGAAAAGCCUUCUUUUAAUACAGGAGGGUCAUGACGGUACCGUAAGAAUAAGCACCGGCUAACUACGUG